UCAGUCGUGACACCUCAUGGACUCUGCACAACCUGUGCGUGGCAGAACCAAGCUACGCCAGCUACCAGAAGAUGCUGGAAAGAACCAAGCCACGUCGCGAGAUACUAAAGCACUGUCCCGAAGCCACCACGGAACCAGCCCAGUUCUGUCCAAGAACUCCUCCAGCCACCACGUUGCACUCUCCACUUCCAACUUAGUCUCCAUGGAUAGCCAACACCACUGUCAUAUCAUCCACUGUCCAACUUCACCGCAUGAUCUCCACAAGUAACACCAUGGUCCAACUCAACCAAGAACCAUCUGCAGGAAGGAGAGAAAACUCUGUUUUUCUCCCUAAAAACAGAGCAGAAUCUCCAUGCGUACCAAUCACCAACACCAUGCACAAACGUAGCACCCAUCUCACAUGCUCAACCUCUCCGUUUGAUCACCAACCAACAUUGCCACCAUCGGAUUAGAUGGAGAAGAAUAGCCCUAACCCUUUCUAGUGCAUGGACUGCCCAGCCAAUAGCAGCACAACACGCUAGUUGCUCUUCCACGCCCUCAACCUCCACGGUAAAAAUCACAUGUUGCCAACCACCAUUGCUCUCCUCUCCACCACGGCAACAACCCAAAUCACAGAACCACCGUCACCCAAGCACCUACAUAGAGAACCGAAGCCUCUGUUUUUAGCAACCAAAGCAGAGCACGACCCGUGCAUGACAGAAACCAAGUGAAGUCGCCGCACAGCCCAGUUCCAUUGCACCUUCUCCAUUUUGGCUAGCCACCAGCGCUGUAACAUCGUACCUCUUUUCAUACGGUGUUUCUGUUUUCGUGGAAUAGGUGCUGCCGCGUUCAGCCACUUCCUCGCACUAGCAUCCUCCACAUGUCUUCUCUUUCUUCCUCUCUAUGGAUUCUUCAACUUCAACCAAUGAUGUGCAAGACUCAAUACAAAGUCUAAAUAUGCCUCCGCCUCCACCCCCAUCCAAUGUAAGUGAUAAAUCUAAUAUUGGUGGGUCACAAAGUGGUAGAGUUAGGUCAAUGGUUUAGGAUCACUUUACCAGAAUACCAAAAUGUAAUCUCACUAAACCUAUGGCUGCAUGUAAUUAUUGUGGUAUUUCAUAUGCAUGUGAUACAAAGAUCAAUGAUAUGAAGUCUAUGAAGCAUCACAUUGAGAAGCAAUGUAAGAAAUGUCUGUUUAAGAAUACGGAUAAAUCCCAGACCACUCUAGGUUGGAAGGUGGAGGGAGGUAGUGUUAGUGGAGGACUUGUGCCCAUUGCAUUUAGUGUUUAGGCUUGCCGACAAGUCUUAACAGAGAUGAUUAUUGUUGAUGAAUUGCCAUUUAGGUUUGUUGAAGGGGAGGGUUUCAUAAAGUGUAUAUUUGUAGUUUGGUGUGCCCUAAGUGGGUAGAGAUUUCAUCCCAUUGGAUGAUUGCGAAUGAUUGUUUUAAUUUGUUUAUGAGGAAAAAUAAAUAAAUUGAGAAGUGCUCUUCGAUGGCAACAAAUUUUCCUCACCACAAGUACAUGGAAAUCCAUGUAAAACCUUAACUAUAUGUGUCUCACAACACAUUUUAUUAAUGAUGGGGGCGACCGAAAAUACUUGCAAUCACUCUUAAUAAUAUAAGUUCUAAUAAUGAGGCCGUUUCUUAGUUGAAAAAAAAUCAAGUAUAGGAGAGAUACGAUUUUGGAACAUGAAUUCUUGCAUGUUCGAUAUUGUACCCACAUUUUGAACUUAAUUGUCUGUGAGAGAUUGAAAGAAUAUGAGGAGUCUAUUGCGAACGUGAGGGUGUUGUGAAGAAUGUUAAAUCCUCCUCUUAAAUGUGGAGUACAUUUAAGAAAUGUGUGGGGUUGGAAGAGAUUCAAUGCAAAAGUCAUGUUUGCCUAUAUGUACCGACUAGGUGGAACUUCACCUAUCUUAUGUUGGAGAGGGUUUCAAACUUUAGAAAAGUUUCUAAUCGGUUGGAGGAAGAAGAUAUGAUCUUUUUAAGUAGUAUUGGAGAUGACGAUGAUGAAUGUGAUGUGGUGACUAGGAGAAAGUCAAAAAAGUUAGGGCCUCCCAAUGCAUCUAAUUGGGACAAGGUACAAUUGUUUGCGAAGUUUCUUGCAUUAUUUCAUGGUGCAACUUUACGCUUUUCAGGGGGUGAAUAUAUAACUUGCAAUAAUUUUUUUACGGAGUUGAUUACUAUUAAAAAUGCCAUUAAUAUAGAGUGUGAAGAAGAAAGUUCCGUGAUAGGAUUAAUGACCACAAAUAUGAAGCAAAAAUUUGAAAAGUAUUGGGAGAAUAUGAAUAAUUAGAAUAUGUUGUUGUACAUUGGAAUUGUUCUUGAUCCUCACUACAAGAUGCGAUAUCUUGACUUUGGGUUGAGAAAAAUGUAUGCAUAUAAUCCUUCAAAAAUCAUUGAUUUGUGAAGAAGUGAGUUCUCCUCAAUGCACAAGUUCUCCAAGUGAAGAUGCAAGUCCUUCCACAGAUUAGUUUGCGAAUAGACAGGCUGCAUUGAUGGCCCAAUUUAAGCAAUAAUUACAGUCAGAAAACUCUUUGGAAAGCAAGUCAGAGGUUGAUAGAUAUCUAGCUGAAAAAUGUGAGGAUCAAUGUGAUAGUUUUGACCUACUAAAUUGGUGGAAUGUGAAUUUAGUUAAAUAUCGCGUACUUUUAAAGGUUGCACGUGAUGAACUAGCAAUACCAAUAUCUACUGUGGCUUCUGAAUCUACAUUCAGCAUUGUGGGUUGUGUACUUGACCUUUUCCGAUGAUGGUUGAGGCUCUUAUAUGCAUAAAAUUGACUACGUUCUUCCUCUACUCUAAUAAGUCUUAGGAUUUUAAUGAAUGAAGUGGAGGAUUUUGAGAAGCAGAUAGAUAUGGAUAGAAUUAGAACUUGUUGGGGAAUUUGCUGAAUCUGCAGAAUGAUCAAAUUCAAUGCCUACUGGCUUUUGACCUAAUGUUGAUGUAAGACCAAAAAGGGUAUUGUGAAAACACUGAAAUUAUUAGCAAAAAUGUAGGAGCUGCCAAGGCCUAAUUGUAUAAUUUGUAUUUUGUAUUGAUGUAACUAUGUUAAUGUUUUAUGCUAUUGUUGGUCAUUUGUUUUUUAUAAGUAAUUUAUGCUACCGUUAGUCUGUUAGAGUGUUUUUGAUGUAAAUUAUUAAAUAUGACUUCUAGUCUUUGAUAUUUUUUUUAAGACCUUUUAAUUUUUAAAUUUUGAAACUUGUAUAAUUUUUAGCUUUCAUUAUCUAUGCUUGGGAAUGGAUUUUUUCUUUCUUUCUUUUACAAGGUAGAUUUGAAUCAUUUGA